AACCAUUCUCACCUGCGGCUAGACCUGCGGAGGGAUCAUUAAAGAUUGACCGAAAGGUCUUAUCUCUAUAUCCCUCACCUCUGUGAACUGUGGACCUCCGGGUCUAUUUAACAAACAUCAGUGUAAUGAACGUAUAUAUCAUUAAACAAAACAAAACUUUCAACAACGGAUCU
rnacentral:misc_RNA from 1 species